rnacentral:rRNA from 1 species
AGAGUUUGAUCCUGGCUCAGGAUGAACGCUAGCUACAGGCUUAACACAUGCAAGUCGAGGGGCAGCAUGGUCUUAGCUUGCUAAGGCCGAUGGCGACCGGCGCACGGGUGAGUAACGCGUAUCCAACCUGCCUUACACUCUUGGACAGCCUUCUGAAAGGGAGAUUAAUACAAGAUGUUAUCAUGAGUAAGCAUUUUCGCAUGAUUAAAGGUUUACCGGUGUAAGAUGGGGAUGCGUUCCAUUAGAUAGUAGGCGGGGUAACGGCCACCUAGUCUUCGAUGGAUAGGGGUUCUGAGAGGAAGGUCCCCCCANAUUGGAACUGAGACACGGUCCAAACUCCUAACGGGAGGCA